UCCUAAUGGCCUAAUGGUUAGAGAGUCGGCCUUAUAACCCGAAGGUCAUGGGUUCGAGUCUCAGACCUGGCAG